GCUGCCGGGCGGCCGCGGCUGAGCGCACAUUGUUCUAGCAGCCCGUCCCUCUCCCCUCCCUCCUCCGCCUCCCGUCCCUCUCUCCUCCCUCCCCAGGUCCCUCCUUCCUCGUCACCGGCGCUGUAUAAAUCCCCUGCCCCGGCGGAUCCCCCCACCGCGGGAGACCCUGGUACUUUGGCCCCCGGGGCAGGAUCUUGCCGCCGCUUGCGGACCGCUGGGACUUUGCGCUUCCGCCGCUGACCCUUUCUCGUCCUCGCCCUCCCUCGCACCGCUUCCCACCGGCCUCUUCCCUUCGCAACCCGGGGGGCCAGGAUGUCGGAAAAACGCGUUGAGGAGGCACCGGCGGAGCUGAGCGCUAAGGAAAGGAAAGAAAAGAAGGAAAAAGUCGAAGAGAAAGCCAUCCACAAAGAAAAGAAGAAGGAGAUAGAUGAGGAAAAUGGAGCUGACGAGGAUGAUGAAGAGAAUCCUGAUGAUGUAGAUGAAGAAGAGGGUGGUGAUGAGGACGAAGGUAGGGGAAAUUAGAUGAAUAGGAGGCUGCAGAGGAAUAGAGGAUUGUGGAGGGAAAUUCCCUCUCUGAGCCCUCUUGACUGAGAGAUUACAUUCCCUAAAUGCUGCUUCAGUUAUCCUGUGAUUUUCCUUUCUUGCAUGUGCUUAGAAGCAGAUGAGAAUGGGCAGGAGCAGGAUGGCCACGCAGAGAAACGAUCUGCAGAGGAGGAGGAGGUGAGUAGUAGUGUGAGAAUAAUGGUGGGGAGAAGGAAUGAGGCUACUUGCUGUUUGUUGACCCAAUCCAUGUGGAUGCUGCUGCUGAGAAUCUCAAAUUGGCCUCGGGUCUCAUUGCUUCAGGAGCAGACGGGUAAACAAAUCUGAUGUGGCAAGGGGAUAGUAAAUCACUGUAUGCUCCUUGUAGGGAUCCAGAUCCUUCCACCAGCAGUUGUGGUGCUGAGUGAGAGAGAGAGUUAAGGUGCUGGAGGUUGUGCUUGGCAAUGACCUCUGAACUACCUGUGCCUUCUGGGCCUCAGGCCAGGAGAUAGAGUUGUAAGGGUGCGGUGAUUGAAGGGUCUGAUCUUCGACAUUAAGGGCAGGCCCUGAGGUCUGUCUGGAGUGGUGUGAGCCUCAGCUUCUCACACCUCCUGGAAGUAACAGCCGUGGGUGUGGUGUCCCUCUGAAUGGAACUGUCCACAUCUUCACCACAACAGAACAGCUGUGUCAGGCACUCCAGAGUGUUUUAGAGAGGAGUGGAUUUAGGGUGGGCCUAACAGAGAUUUCCAUAUGGAGGAAAGAGCGGCAGUUACGAGUUUUGUGGAGAAUUAUGUACCUUGGGGUGGUGACUGUUUGAUGGUAACUCUUUCUCUUUCCUCCCAUGGCUGAUGCAGGAUGAAGUGGAUCCAAAGAGACAGAAGACAGAAAACGGCUCUUCAGCUUGAGUCCUCCCUCCCAUCCCCCUGUUCCGCCCAUCUCUCCUCCUCCAUUCCAGCCUGUGCUUGCACUGCCCGUUAGCCUCUGGCUUCACGCAAUCUCAGAUGAGGAAAGAUUAGAAAUGCUCUCAAACAGGGGAAGACAGCAGUUCCCUUCUCACCCAAAGGACCUAGUCCGUCCAUGACCUUCCCCAGCUGAAAUUAUCCCUGUCCCCUGCAGCCCUUCACUGCACCCCCCUUACCAGCGCUCCUGUUCCCUCAAGAAUCUCAUGGUUUCCUGGGCACACAGCCUUGCCAGGCACUUCACGUGGGCAAAGCACCUCCCGUCCCCUUGUCACCUGCCUGCCUGUUUUUGUCACUGGUAUGAGAUUCUUGAGAGCUCCCGCCCAGCCCUGCUGCCAGAGCUCCUGCCAGAGCCAGGAGGUGCAGGCACAGAUCUCGUGGUGCGUUCCCCAGUCCUAGGCCUCUUCUCAUCUGCUUUCCUGCUGAACCCUGAGAGACAAAAGAAAGAAUAUUACAAGCAAAUAAUGGUUCUAUUAAGCAACACAUGGAGACAGGAUUUAUUUUAAGCUUUUCUUUUUUUUUUUUUCCGAGUUUACAUUGACAGCAAGCUGGCCCUCGUGAAUUUUUUGAAAGAUAAGGGUUGUUUUAUAUACGAAUUUCAUCUGAGCUGUGUAUUUUUUUAAUUUGGAGGCUUUUUUAAAACAAAUCAAGAAGAGACACCAAUUGGGACCAAAACUUUGAUUUCCAUUUUUCCCUUCAGAUUUUCUUGUGACCAUUUUUUGUAAAUUAAAGGCAAUAUAGCCACAGCGUUUUCUAUGGCACAGACAUCACGAGGAUGAUAGAUAUAAAUAUAUAUAUUGUUUUCAACAAGCACUGUAAAUAAAAAGCGUUUAAAAUGUUUCAAA
rnacentral:lncRNA from 1 species